rnacentral:rRNA from 1 species
UACGUAGGGUGCGAGCGUUAAUCGGAAUUACUGGGCGUAAAGCGUGCGCAGGCGGUUCGUUGUGUCUGAUGUGAAAGCCCCGGGCUCAACCUGGGAAUGGCAUUGGAAACUGGCGAGCUAGAGUGUGGCAGAGGGGGGUGGAAUUCCGCGUGUAGCAGUGAAAUGCGUAGAGAUGCGGAGGAACACCGAUGGCGAAGGCGGCACUCUGGGCCGGUACUGACGCUGAGGAGCGAAAGCGUGGGGAGCGAACAGG